AUUGAACGCUAGCGGGAUGCCUUACACAUGCAAGUCGAACGGCAGCACGGACUUCGGUCUGGUGGCGAGUGGCGAACGGGUGAGUAAUACAUCGGAACGUGCCUAGUAGUGGGGGAUAACUACUCGAAAGAGUGGCUAAUACCGCAUGAGAUCUACGGAUGAAAGCAGGGGAUCGCAAGACCUUGUGCUACUAGAGCGGCCGAUGGCAGAUUAGGUAGUUGGUGGGAUAAAAGCUUACCAAGCCAACGAUCUGUAGCUGGUCUGAGAGGACGAUCAGCCACACUGGGACUGAGACACGGCCCAG
rnacentral:rRNA from 1 species